rnacentral:tRNA from 2 species
GUAGCUCAGCUGGUUAGAGCGCACCCCACUCUUGGUUUAAAAGAAGGGGGUGAGGUCGGUGGUUCAAGUCCACUCAGAA